rnacentral:rRNA from 1 species
UACAGAGGUCCCAAGCGUUGUUCGGAUUCAUUGGGCGUAAAGGGUGCGUAGGUGGCGUCGUAAGUCGGGUGUGAAAUCUCGGGCUUAACUCCGAAACUGCAUUCGAUACUGCGGUGCUUGAGGACUGGAGAGGAGACUGGAAUUUACGGUGUAGCGGUGAAAUGCGUAGAUAUCGUAAGGAAGACCAGUGGCGAAGGCGGGUCUCCUGGACAGUUCCUGACGCUGAGGCACGAAGGUCAGGGGAGCAAAACGGG